AGCCCUGUGAAAGGUUUCUGAGAUUGAGUCAGCAGUGCUUCGACUCGAUUUCUGUUUGAAGAAAUAAAAUAAAAACAACUUCUGUUCCAACAGAUGUUCUUCUGAGAUUAGUUUAAGCCUAACUAGUCCUUCAUGUCCUCUUCAAUCAAAACGCUAUGAUCUGAUGAGAUGGCUUUAAAAGAUCACGUCACUUUAAGACGGAGCUGCAGAACUGCUUUAUCAGUGCACAGCAUUUAUAUUUAUAUAUAUGUGUGUGUGUGUAUUUUAGGGUUCAUCAACAAUUUGAUGCAUUUGGGACUUUGACACGG